UAUGGACACGGACACUUGCCCCUCAGCAGAUCAUGAGCACUGGAACUUGAACUUCUCAAAAGUCCUCCCUCAUUCUGCACAUUAUAGUUGUUAAAUUCUGCCUGUAAUUUACUUGGUGCUUUAUGUUUCUUUUUUUAAAAUGUGAUUUUAUCUGUUUAUAUCUUGUUUUUCUAGACUAAUUAUUUUAUUGCUUAGGUCCACUCAGAAGCUGUUGUAACCUAUUCUUUGUGUGGAUUUUCUAACAUUGCCUGGGAAUGUCUAUUGGAGCGCUCUCUGUCAUGGCUCCAAAUAGACAAUCUGAUAUUUCCAGAUGUGUUCUCAGAGCUUUGACUGCUGGAAGCAUGGCCUGUUUCAUUACAGCAUGCAUUGCUGGUAUGCUGUUUAUUCCUGAUUGCCAACACUUUCUGAGCUCAAACAACAACACCAACCUAACAAACAGCAGCAAACAACUGCUGGACUGCUGCUCUCAGCUGUAUAACAGUGUGAUGGUGCACAAGCCGUGGAAUGUGACAGUCGGAGGAGGAGUCACAGAGAGCAGUUUGUGGGGCUGCUGUGCACUAACUCCACCCCAAAGAUUCA